rnacentral:rRNA from 1 species
UACGAAGGGGGCUAGCGUUGUUCGGAAUUACUGGGCGUAAAGCGCGUGUAGGCGGAUUCUUAAGUCGGGGGUGAAAUCCCAGAGCUCAACUCUGGAACUGCCUUCGAUACUGGGAAUCUGGACCCAAGUAGAGGCAAGUGGAAUUGCGAGUGUAGAGGUGAAAUUCGUAGAUAUUCGCAGGAACACCAGUGGCGAAGGCGACUUGCUGGACUUGUGGUGACGCUGAGACGCGAAAGCGUGGGUAGCAAACAGG